GCCGUUAGCGCUGCUGCGUUAACCCUUUGUGCAAAUUCAAAUUUUAAUUUGAAAAUUGGGCGGGUUGGUGAAGGUAAAACUAAAAACUAAAGAAGCUUUUCAUUUUCCUCAAUCUUUUAUCUCUUUCUGUUCAUCAUCACCACCAUUGCAAUGUUGGCAACAUUUCUGCACUUGCAAGGUACCAACUUUAUUUCCUCUUUGAGUGGCACAGAAAGUGUUUGUUGAAAUGCUUCAUAGAGAUCCCUUUUUUUCCAAACUUCUUAUGGCUUUGUGUUCUGAUUAUUAGGGGUUGUGGGUUCAUGUUAGUGUGGUGCUGACAAACUCAUUAAGAGUAAGCCUAUUCUUCAUGCCUAUUAGUGUUUUGUAUUGGGUGCAAGUCGUAAUUAUGAGUGUUUAGGAGGAAAAUUUUAGUUUGGAAGCGUUUUGUGUUGGGUGCAAGUUGUAAUUAUGAGUGGCUAGGAGGAAAAUUUUAGUUUGGAAGCAAAAGAGGCAUAUGGGUAGCUGUAAUUAGGUGGAAGGCCUUUUAUAAAGAAGAAAAUUAAUUUCUAGCAUGGUAUAAGGACAUCACGACCUGGGUCCUGGGUGCAGAGUUGCUAUUGCUUUAGGCCACCUUUCGGCAUUUUUUGGUAUAUCCUAUGUCACUAUGAAACCUGCUUAUUGAAUUAUGUUCCCUAGCUAUAAUGCUUAAGUGUGAACCAUUGUUCAUUAUGCAGGAGA